rnacentral:misc_RNA from 1 species
CUGUUCGAGCGUCAUUAUGACCACUCAAGCCUAGCUUGGUAUUGGGGGUUCGCGGUCUCGCGGCCCUUAAAAUCAGUGGCGGUGCCAUCUGGCUCUAAGCGUAGUAAUCCAUCUCGCUAUUGGGUCCGGUGGUUGUUUGCCAAUAACCCCCAACUUCUAAGGUUGACCUCGGAUCAGGUAGGGAUACCCGCUGAACUUAA